UACGAGGGGGGCAAGCGUUGUUCGGAAUUACUGGGCGUAAAGCGUGCGUAGGUGGUUUGUUAAGUCUGUUGUGAAAGCCCCGGGCUCAACCUGGGAAUGGCAAUGGAUACUGGCAGGCUAGAGUGCGGUAGAGGGUAGUGGAAUUCCCGGUGUAGCGGUGAAAUGCGUAGAGAUCGGGAGGAACACCAGUGGCGAAGGCGGCUACCUGGACCAGCACUGACACUGAGGCACGAGAGCGUGGGGAGCAAACAGG
rnacentral:rRNA from 1 species